rnacentral:lncRNA from 1 species
GGAAACUUUUAACCUAGAUAAGCUUAUUUACAAGGUGCCUUAGAGAAAAAGGGUCUCGGCCAAGAACUCACUGUAAAGGGUGGAGGGAGAAUUUUUUCCUCCUCUACAGUUCCCAGUGACCCAGAUGGGACCUGCUGGGAUACCCACCCCACUUGCUCUGGAGCCUGCAGACAGGAUCCAGGGAAAACUGGCAGAAGUUGGCAAAGGCUGAUUUGGGACAUGAAGACCUUGGCUUCAGAGUGCGCUCCAAACUUUGGGUGUUAUUCUUCUCAUAGUCAUCACUGUAGUCUUCCCAAUGUGUUAUAAUUUCUCAAAGCUCUCAAAUAUAUGUUCACAAACACUGGCCCACCGACAGAUGACUUCACUGAGAUUGGAACACCAAAAGAAAAAGGAGGA